GUGAAUGUGGAGAUGUCGAUCGUCUUGGUGCUUUCGAGAGCAACGUUCUCAAGCUCCUCGUCUUCGAGA
rnacentral:sRNA from 1 species